UACGUAGGGUGCAAGCGUUGUCCGGAUUUAUUGGGCGUAAAGAGCUCGUAGGCGGUUUGUCGCGUCGGAUGUGAAAACCUGUGGCUCAACCACGGGCCUGCAUUCGAUACGGGCAAACUAGAGUAUGGUAGGGGAAACUGGAAUUCCUGGUGUAGCGGUGAAAUGCGCAGAUAUCAGGAGGAACACCGGUGGCGAAGGCGGGUUUCUGGGCCAUUACUGACGCUGAGGAGCGAAAGCGUGGGGAGCGAACAGG
rnacentral:rRNA from 1 species